AGGUGAGUGGCCCAGUGGGUAGAGUCUAGGGCUUGUAAUCGUAAGGUCCCUAGUUCGAACUUCACUGGGGGCAGAGA
rnacentral:tRNA from 1 species